ACCGCAUGAAUUUUCUUGUCCCGCGGAUCCAAGAUGGCGACGUAUCCACCGCGGAGGCUGCUGGGAGCAGGACCUUUACCCUCUGACCCCGGCCGUGACCCCCGUCGUUCCGACUUCCCUCAAGGCGGCGGCGGAAGUUGCAUGGUGGCGGUGAAAACUGCUCUUCCCGGUUCAGGUCAUUGAACACUGCUUCACUGUUACUGCAGGAGAAUUCAGGACUUUAUUAAGGCCUGAAGAUGACCUCAUUAUAACCAUCUCCAUUCACAAGUUUUGAAUACUGUAAAGAGUGAUAAAAUUGAAAUCACUUCGCCAAAGGAUCUAAUAAGAUUUUGUUGCCUUGAAUAAAGUCUUUUACUUUGAAAUGAAAAAGACAUUUUCAUAGUAAAUAUGUGAUGUGUGAUUAUUAGUAGAAAAUAAACGUUCUUGAAAGUACUUUAGUAAAUUUCUUUAGUAAAAAUUUAAGGGAUCAGAAGGAUUCAAACCAUUUAGCUUGACUCUAAAUUGGUGC